rnacentral:rRNA from 1 species
UACGAAGGUCCCAAGCGUUAUCCGGAUUUAUUGGGUUUAAAGGGUGCGUAGGCGGGUUAUUAAGUCAGUGGUGAAAGCUCCAUGCCUAACAUGGAAAUUGCCAUUGAUACUGAUGAUCUUGAGUACAUUUGAAGUGGGCGGAAUGUGUCAUGUAGUGGUGAAAUACUUAGAUAUGACACAGAACACCGAUUGCGUAGGCAGCUCACUAAACUGUAACUGACGCUGAGGCACGAAAGCGUGGGGAGCAAACAGGG